rnacentral:rRNA from 1 species
UACGAAGGGGGCUAGCGUUGCUCGGAAUCACUGGGCGUAAAGGGUGCGUAGGCGGGUCUUUAAGUCAGGGGGGAAAUCCUGGAGCUCAACUCCAGAACUGCCUUUGAUACUGAAGAUCUUGAGUUCGGGAGAGGUGAGUGGAACUGCGAGUGUAGAGGUGAAAUUCGUAGAUAUUCGCAAGAACACCAGUGGCGAAGGCGGCUCACUGGCCCGAUACUAACGCUGAGGCGCGAAAGCGUGGGGAGCGAACAGG